rnacentral:tRNA from 1 species
GGGGUCAUAGCUCAGUUGGUAGAGCACCUGCUUUGCAAGCAGGGGGUCGUCAGUUCGAGUCUGACUGGCUCCACCA